rnacentral:rRNA from 1 species
GAUGAACGCUGGCGGCGUGCCUAAUACAUGCAAGUCGAGCGAAUGGAUUAAGAGCUUGCUCUUAUGAAGUUAGCGGCGGACGGGUGAGUAACACGUGGGUAACCUGCCCAUAAGACUGGGAUAACUCCGGGAAACCGGGGCUAAUACCGGAUAACAUUUUGAACCGCAUGGUUCGAAAUUGAAAGGCGGCUUCGGCUGUCACUUAAGGAUGGACCCGCGUCGCAUUAGCUAGUUGGUGAGGUAACGGCUCACCAAGGCAACGAUGCGUAGCCGACCUGAGAGGGUGAUCGGCCACACUGGGACUGAGACACGGCCCAGACUCCUACGGGAGGCAGCAGUAGGGAAUCUUCCGCAAUGGGCGAAAGUCUGACGGAGCAACGCCGCGUGAGUGAUGAAGGCUUUCGGGUCGUAAACUCUGUUGUUAGGGAAGAACAAGUGCUAGUUGAAUAAGCUGGCACCUUGACGGUACCUAACCAGAAAGCCACGGCUAACUACGUGCCAGCCGCCGCGGUAA